rnacentral:rRNA from 1 species
GACGAACGCUGGCGGCGUGCUUAACACAUGCAAGUCGAGCGGUAAGGCCCUUUCGGGGGUACGACGAGCGGCGAACGGGUGAGUAACACGUGGGUGACCUGCCCUCAGCUCUGGGAUAAGCCUGGGAAACCGGGUCUAAUACCGGAUAUGACUCCAUGACGCAUGUUGUGGGGUGGAAAGCCUUGUGCGGCUGAGGAUGGGCCCGCGGCCUAUCAGCUUGUUGGGUGGGGUGAUGGCCUACCAAGGCGACGACGGGUAGCCGGCCUGAGAGGGCGACCGGCCACACUGGGACUGAGACACGGCCCAGACUCCUACGGGAGGCAGCAGUGGGGAAUCUUGCGCAAUGGGCGAAAGCCUGACGCAGCGACGCCGCGUGA